UGAUUAUUCACCAGUCAAACUAAUAGUAAUUUUCUUGAUAUCGUGACUUGACAAAUUUUUGGUAUGAAAUUCACAAAUUAGGGUUUUCUUCUCGUGUCAUUAUAAAUUUCUCUGAAUUUCUGAUUCUGAAGAAGCAAGAACUUGUGAGAUGAUGGCUAACAUCUUCAGUCUCUCAUCAUCAAUCUCUGCACGUUUUCUUCUGUUAAUCAUAGCCUUUGUUCUCUUUAUGCAGUUGAGUGUUGGUUCAGAUCUGAAUAUUCGGAAACUGGGUGAAAUGCCACCGCGACCUCGUUCUCCAUAUCCAAACCCAGCACCAAUGCCUGGAAAAAUAGAGUUACCAUGAACUGGAAAAAUCUCAAUGUAUUUUUGUUCCAUGGACUACACCACACACACCACAUAAUUUCAAAUUAUGCAGUUAUAUUUCUGUGAUAAAAAUAAAUUAAUAUUCCCCUA